rnacentral:rRNA from 1 species
GUAGCACAAGAGAGCUUGCUCUCUGGGUGACGAGCGGCGGACGGGUGAGUAAUGUCUGGGAAACUGCCUGAUGGCGGGGGAUAACUAGUGGAAACGGUAGCUAAUACCGCAUAACGUCGCAAGACCAAAGUGGGGGACCUUCGGGCCUCACGCCAUCAGAUGUGCCCAGGUGGGAUUAGCUGGUAGGUGGGGUAACGGCUCACCUAGGCGACGAUCCCUAGCUGGUCUGAGAGGAUGACCAGCCACACUGGAACUGAGACACGGUCCAGACUCCUACGGGAGGCAGCAGUGGGG